AAGAAGAAGAAGAAGAAGAAGAAGAAGAAAAAACCAUGUGAUCACCUAGUUGGUCUGUUUGUCCGCGUUAUUACAUUUGAAGACGAUUAUACAUCAUCAUUAUCAUGGAAGGGAACGACCGAAGACACCAUACCAUUCUUACUGAGGGAGAAGAACCUGUGCCCCUACAGUCCGCCGGUUCACCUUUUUAUCAGUGCCCAUUCUGCUCUUAUAAGACUGCAGAAAGGCAUUUGGUGAUUAACCACAUACAAAAUCAUGCAACGGUGAAACAUAAAGGUAAAAGCCAAUGUUAGGGCAUAACUUGAACAACAAACAAAAUGCAUGU